CCACAAUAUUUAUUAUUGCUGUUAAUUAACAUGGUCUCAGCCCCUGUAAUAAUCACAGGAUUCCCUGUGUAUUUAAGUAUUAUUGUAUUUAAAUAAUUGAUUGACUUAGAGCUCACUAAUAUGAAUACCUCCAGGAGUGCUUAGUUGGAUCAUUACUUAAUCCUGGCUCUGUGCACUAUAUCAUGUUACCAAUAAAUCAAUUUUGCAUCUCUCUGCCCGCAAGAUCUCACUCCUGAUGGCUCAGGGGACCAGGCUGGCUGGGAGCAUUGCAGAGAAGGCGACACGAGGGAGGUAGCCAGUCCUACUGCACAGGACUCCAGGGCGCUGGCUCCUGACUCACAUGGGGAAGCUGAGAGCAGAGAAAAGCAAACCAUUAGAAGGAAAUGGAGCAUGUGCUAAUUUGUCUGUGUUUUCAGUUAGCAGGCAUUUAUUAGGGAUGUCUGAGUUGCUCAUAUCCAGGUCAGCCUGGUAAUAUAUUAACCUCUGGUGCCACGGACAUGCACAGGAAAAAAUCAAAUGACAAUUAACAGGGAUUUUACACACUGCCCAAGGCACUUCUGACCAUGCCCAGCACUGGCAGCUGGACGCACUGCUGGUUGCCACCAUCCAUCACUCUGACAAGGGAGAGAUGCUGCGGCUCCUGGCUCUGGGGCUCUGGGCCAAACAGCAGAGGAUUGGGACCCUUGUGAGACUGGGAACAGGGCACUGAGAUGCCCAUGAGGCAGAUGAGAAGGGAUUGAAACUAUCCUGUCAUGGGGAGCAGAGGAUUGGGACCCCUCUGAGACAGGGACCGGGGCAUUGGGAGCCCUGUGAAACAGGACGCAGAGGAUCAGGACCCCCAUGAGAGAGGAAGCAGGGGAUGCUGAAUGGGUCAGGAGAGUCAGUGCUGGAUCACAGACUGAAUGCUCCUGCAAAUCUCAACUAAACCAUACACAUAUUUUCAUUUCUACCUAUUUGACCCAUGAACUAACUGCAAAAUUUCUCUCUAAUCCCUAGCAGAUGAGCAUCAGAACAGACCUGUGGUCCAGGCUAAUCCCUUUAUUAUGAAGCAAUGCUACAGAAAUCAAAAUACCAGCAGUAAGUCAGGGGAUUAACAAGCUGGGCAAUGCACAAAUUAAAUUGCAUCCUCCCUCUCUGCUCUGCCCCAGCCAAUGGCUCUUUUCCUGCUGUGGUCACUGCAGCUCCUCCAGCAGGAAAAUAAGGCUAGAAAUCCCUUUAUAAAAAUGAGUCUCUAUUUAAUCCCUGAUCCAGGUAGUAAGCAGAGUCUGCCCAGGAUGAACCCAUGUCCGUGCAUCCCCUCAUAUGUCUUUCUCUGUGAUUCUGUGAUUCUAUGAUGUGGCUUUGCCAAGCAUGCAUUUUUGGGACUCAGGGGUUUGACUGCAGCCAGAUGGAACAUGGGCACUGCUCUCUGGUUCACUGCCACCUCUGCAGCUCUCCCUAGGCUGUCCUAUGUCAUGUGCCUCAGUGUGGCACAGAUGGACUGACCCCAGGCAGAAGAAAAUAUGCAGCAGCAGAAUUGUAGAACCGUGGAAUGGUUUGGAUUGAAGGAACCUUAAAGACCACCUUGUUCCACCCCUGUCAUGGGCAAGGACACCUUCUACCAGACCAGAUUGCUUCAAGGCCCGUCCAAUGUGGCCUAGAACAAUUCCAGGGUUGCAGGAGUCACAGCUUUUCUGGGCAACCUGUGCCAGUGUCUCACCAUCCUGUUCAGCAGUGACAGCUCUAGGGCCAAAUGGAUCUGUGGGUUCUGCACCAGAGCCUCUGAAGAGGGCUGGGGUCUCCCAGGCAGCUGGCAGCAAGGGCCAGCAUCUCUCAUCCACACCAGAAAAAUGGUGGGGUUCUUGGGGAUGUCCUGUGCAGGGCCAGGACCUGGACACAAUGAUCCUUGUGGGUCCCUUCCAGCUCAGGAUAUUCUGUGAUUCUGUGAUCCCCAGGGAUCAGGAGCCAGGCUGCUUGCAGCGGGGCCAGCUCUGCCCUGACCUUGCAGCAUGGUUUCUGCCCUGACUGCCUUUACUGCACAGUAGCAUCUAAAUGAAUCUUUUAUUCAUUCCCUUAAGAACAUCUUCACAAGUGCACAUUUGAAUAAAACAUGAGGAUGCAUUUUUGGAAGAGCCGUUUAAUGCUUCCAACAGCCCCAUCACAGUGCAUUAACCAGAAAAAAGACUGUGCUGUAGCAUUUUUAUCUUAGUGAAUGGACCCCCAUGGCAUGCAAGGCAAUGGGGAAGGUGCCCAUGGCCCCAUGUCUCUAUGGCCACAUGUCCCCACAUCCUGUUGGUGGGGCUGUGGCUGCUGUUGUCUUCUGUCCUGAGGGUGGGAGGGAUGGCGCAGCAUGUCUGGGUGCUGAAACCAUUUGGUUCACAUCCCCAAAACAGGGAUAUAUCUACUUACAAACAAGCCAGAGGGGGAAAAAAACCAGUAGUUUCUUAGUGAAAGGUAUUGGCAAAUUAUGAAAAAACCUGACCCACGUGCUCACGUCCAAAUAUACGAGUGCCAGAACAGCCACAUGCACCUGCCACCUCUGUGAAUCCUGUAAGCUGGAUGAGACAGAUUCUGCUUCUCAUCUGAUAAGCCAGUUCCAGGUGUCUCUAUUCCUGAGCACAGCAUGAGAGAUGCACAGGAAUGGUUUUGCAUAGCUGAGAUGAUUCUAGCAAAAGUCUUUCUACUUCUGGAAAAAACAAUUUUUUUCUUGUUUGAAUUCAUUGAAAAGGAGCAAUAAAGCAAAUGGGCAGAGAGGAGCAAGCAGAGCAACAGCAGGAGAGUGAAGGGGGCAGAGGUUAUAGGGAACAGGAGCCAAUUAAGCCUGAGAGGAGGAAAUUUAGCACAGUCAGAGAAAA
ensembl:lncRNA